AAGGCUGCUGCGUGCUUAACACAUGCAAGUCGAACGCGAAAGUUUUCUUCGGAAAACGAGUAGAGUGGCGCACGGGUGAGUAACGCGUAAGUAAUCUACCCUGGCAUCUGGGAUAACAAUUGGAAACGAUUGCUAAUACCGGAUACGUUGAUUUAUCAAGAAAGGUGGCCUCUUCAUGAAAGCUACUGUGCUAGGAGGAGCUUGCGUACCAUUAGCUAGUUGGUGGGGUAAUGGCCUACCAGGGCGACGAUGGUUAGCGGGUCUGAGAGGAUGAUCCGCCACACUGGAACUGAAACACGGACCAGACUCCUACGGGAGGCAGCAGUGAGGAAUAUUGCGCAAUGGGGGCAACCCUGACGCAGCGACGCCGCGUGGAUGAUGAAGGCCUUCGGGUCGUAAAAUCCUGUCAGAUGGGAAGAAGUGGUAAAUGGUUAAUACCCAUUUAUUUUGACGGUACCAUCAAAGGAAGCACCGGCUAACUCCGUGCCAGCAGCCGCGGUAAUACGGAGGGUGCAAGCGUUGUUCGGAAUUACUGGGCGUAAAGCGCGCGUAGGCGGCUUCUUAAGUCAGAUGUGAAAGUCCACGGCUCAACCGUGGAAGUGCAUUUGAAACUGGGGAGCUUGAGUAUCAGAGGGGAUAGUGGAAUUCCAGGUGUAGAGGUGAAAUUCGUAGAUAUCUGGAGGAAUACCGGUGGCGAAGGCGACUGUCUGGCUGAAUACUGACGCUGAGGUGCGAAAGCAUGGGGAGCAAACAGGAUUAGAUACCCUGGUAGUCCAUGCCGUAAACGAUGUCAACUAGGUGUUGGAGUGGUUAAUCACUUCAUUGCCGUAGCUAACGCAUUAAGUUGACCGCCUGGGGAGUACGGUCGCAAGAUUAAAACUCAUAUGAAUUGACGG
rnacentral:rRNA from 1 species